GANGAGUCCCNAUUGAUUCUUAGUGCUUGCANUAAGAUGAUUUUGGAUCCGACUGAGUGGCGAACUGGUGAGUAACACGUGGGUAACCUGCCCAGAAGAAGGGGAUAACACCUGGAAACAGAUGCUAAUACCGUAUAACAACAAGAACCACAUGGUUCUUGUUUGAAAGCUGGCCUUUGUGCUAGUGCUUCUGGAUGGACCCGCGGCGUAUUAGCUAGUUGGUGAGAUAAUAGCUCACCAAGGCAAUGAUACGUAGCAGACCUGAGAGGGUAAUCUGCCACAAUGGGACUGAGACACGGCCCAUACUCCUACGGGAGGCAGCAGUAGGGAAUCUUCCACAAUGGACGAAAGUCUGAUGGAGCAACGCCGCGUGAGUGAAGAAGGGUUUCGGCUCGUAAAACUCUGUUGUUAGAGAAGAACAGCCGUGAGAGCAACUGCUCACGGUAUGACGGUAUCUAACCAGAAAGUCACGGCUAACUACGUGCCAGCAGCCGCGGUAAUACGUAGGUGGCAAACGUUGUCCGGAUUUAUUGGGCGUAAAGGGAGCGCAGGCGGUUUAUUAAGUCUGAUGUGAAAGCCUUCGGCUUAACCGGAGAAGUGCAUCGGAAACUGAUAAACUUGAGUGCAGAAAAGGAUAGUGGAACUUCAUGUGUAGCGGUGAAAUGCGUAGAUAUAUGAAGGAACACCANUGGCNAAGGCGGNUAUCUGGUCUGUACUGACCCUNAGGCUUCNAAACCUUGGGUANCAAACNGGAU
rnacentral:rRNA from 2 species